UCGACCAAUUAUUAGGUGUAAUUGCAGUUAGGCAGGUGUGCCAGUAUACAAUUGCAUCGACUCCCAGGUCUGGCACAGGGGCUGGUUUCAGAAACUGUCAAAUCCUGAUCGCUUUCAGAGGUACAGUCUGUAGUUUUGAUUUGUUGCACGUAUGAAAUCCAACCACCGGAACUGAAAAUCUUGGACAAUUGUCAGAACAGACAAGUUAGCGAUUGUGUAAUUUAAUUGUUGGCUUGAAUAGGUCACACCUGUCAAUCAUUUCAAGUAGUAAGAGAAACGGAACACACAGCUGCAAAUGGGGUCAGCUCUCAGAUGGACGAUGAAUACAAGUGGGCGGGUGGUGGAGGACCCUAAAAUCAUGGUCACCUCGUCCCGGGACCCCAGCUCCAGACUCAAGAUGUUUGCCAAGGGAAGGCGUCUUUAAGCUCUUCGGUGCCAGUUGUGUGCCAGUGAGGAGAGAGAGUCAUCAAUGAAUUGUUAAACAUAAAGAUUGCAACAGGAUGUCGUCUACAAGAAAACGAGCAGGUGUACAUGAUCAAGCUGGGCACUCUGGAGAACGAAAGCAUCGUGGGAGUGGAGUGGCGUCUCCACCCCUACUCUCACACUGCAAAGAAAACACCUGAGUGGAGUGAACGCAGGAGAAGCAGAGACCCGCCAGACUGAAACACAAGGACAUCUCCCAACAAUUGUUAGCCCACACAGUGGGGGAAAUGAUACAUAGAAAAACUGGAAAAUUAAGCAUUUUUUUUUACAUUUAAAGCAGCUGAUUUCACCAUGUAAGUGCAGUGGAACCCCUCUCUUCUGAUCUUUGUGUUCAGUUAUGGGGCAGUGUAUAUGUACCUGCUAUUGGGUGGAUAAUUCCUCUGAUACAAGGAUUCUACUGUAUUGCACUUUGACAACUAUAUUCUGCUAUGCAGAAUAACUAUUGAAUUUGUAUUUUGCAGAUUUUAUAAAACAUCUGAGCAAGAUACAUCCUUGUGUCCCUCCUUAUUGUUGUUCAAGCUCCCCUCCCCAUUACCCAAACACCAAGAUUGUAGUUCUUAACCCAGUCCAGCGGCUUUCAUUUCUAAAAAGAAAAGUGGAUUUGGUAUGAACAAACAGAUCCUGUUU